rnacentral:rRNA from 1 species
UACGGAGGGUGCAAGCGUUGUCCGGAUUUAUUGGGUUUAAAGGGUGCGUAGGCGGUAUAUUAAGUCAGAGGUGAAAUCCCACAGCUUAACUGUGGAACUGCCUUUGAUACUGGUAUACUUGAGUACAGAUGAGGUAGGCGGAAUUUAUGGUGUAGCGGUGAAAUGCAUAGAUACCAUAAGGAACACCGAUAGCGAAGGCAGCUUACUAAGUUGUAACUGACGCUGAUGCACGAAAGCAUGGGUAGCGAACAGG